rnacentral:ncRNA from 1 species
CAAUGAACGUUGAGAGAAGAUUAGUAUGCGAGAAUCACUGUGACAGAGAGCGGCGUCGAUUGCUGGAAGACCCGCGACAGGAAAGCGCAGAACCUGCUUCUUGAGUCCUAUGCAAAACAUAGGCGCAAAUCCUGGCGUUAUCAGGCAAAGUGGAAUGCAUGAACUUGCAUUCAAUGAAGGUGGUACCACGGAGAGCAGCCCUUUUCGUCCUUAUU